rnacentral:rRNA from 1 species
AUUGAACGCUGGCGGCAGGCCUAACACAUGCAAGUCGAGCGGAUGAAGGGAGCUUGCUGCUGGAUUCAGCGGCGGACGGGUGUGUAAUGCCUAGGAAUCUGCCUGGUAGGGGGGUAUAAAGUCGGGAAACGGGCGCUAAUACCGCAUACGCCCUGAGGGAGAAAGUGGGGGAGCUUCGGACCUCACGCUAUCAGAUGAGCCUAGGUCGGAUUAGCUAGUUGGUGGGGUAAAGGCCUACCAAGACGACGAUCCGUAACUGGUCUGAGAGGAUGAUCAGUCACACUGGAACUGAGACACGGUCCAGACUCCUACGGGAGGCAGCAGUGGGGAAUAUUGGACAAUGGGCGAAAGCCUGAUCCAGCAAUGCCGCGUGUGUGAAGAAGGUCUUCGGAUUGUAAAGCACUUUAAGUUGGGAGGAAGGGCAGUAAGUUAAUACCUUGCUGUUUUGACGUUACCAAAAGAAUAAGCACCGGCUAACUUCGUG